CAUGCAGUCGAGCGAUGAGCCCUUCGGGGUGGAUUAGCGGCGGACGGGUGAGUAACACGCGAGUAACCUGCCUCAAAGUGGGGGAUAGCCUUCCGAAAGGGAGAUUAAUACCGCAUAACAUCAGUUGAUUGCAUGAUCGACUGAUCAAAGAUUUAUUGCUUUGAGAUGGACUCGCGGCGCAUUAGCUAGUUGGUGAGGUAACGGCUCACCAAGGCGACGAUGCGUAGCCGACCUGAGAGGGUGAUCGGCCACAUUGGGACUGAGACACGGCCCAGACUCCUACGGGAGGCAGCAGUGGGGAAUAUUGCGCAAUGGGCGAAAGCCCUGACGCAGCAACGCCGCCGUGAGUGAAGAAGGUCUUCGGAUUGUAAAGCUCUUGUCUUCAGGGAACGAUAAUGACCGGUACCCUGGAGGAGGGAAGCCACGGGCUAACUACGUGCAGCAGCCGCGGGUAAUACGGUAAGGGGGGCUAGCCGUUAUCCGGGAUUUACUUGGCGGUAAAGGGUGCGUAAGGUGGGUUUUUUAAGUCAGGAAGUGAAAGGCUACGGCUCAACGGAGUUAAGCCUCUUGAAACUUGGAAUCCUGAUUGCAGAAGAAAGUGGAAUUCCUAGUGUACGGUGAAUGCGUGAAUUUAGAGGAAC
rnacentral:rRNA from 1 species